AUUUUCUCACCUCUGGGGAAACCACAAGGAGCUGGAGGAGCUGACAAGCACAAGUGUGGAACACAUCAUUGUCAAUCCUAAUGCUGCCUAUGACAAGUUCAAGGACAAGAGAGUGGGGACAAAGGGACUUGAUUUCUCAGAUCGUAUUGGAAAAACCAAGAGGACAGGAUAUGAAUCUGGAGAAUAUGAGAUGCUUGGAGAGGGUCUGGGAGUGAAGGAGACACCCCAGCAAAAGUACCAGCGCCUACUGCAUGAGGUCCAAGAGCUGACAACUGAAGUUGAAAAAAUCAAGACGACAGUGAAGGAGUCAGCCACAGAGGAGAAGCUGACCUCUGUGUUGCUGGCUAAACAGCUGGCAGCCCUGAAGCAGCAGCUGGUUGCUUCCCACCUGGAGAAGCUGCUGGGACCAGAUGCUGCAAUCAACCUUACCGACCCCGAUGGCGCCCUGGCUAAGCGCCUACUACUGCAGCUGGAAGCAACAAAGAACAGCAAAGGGGGAUCAGGGGGAAAAACCACUGGGACCCCCCCAGAUAGCAGCCUUG
rnacentral:sRNA from 1 species